rnacentral:rRNA from 1 species
CUUAACACAUGCAAGUCGAGGGGCAGCAUGGUCUUAGCUUGCUAAGGCUGAUGGCGACCGGCGCACGGGUGAGUAACACGUAUCCAACCUGCCGUCUACUCUUGGCCAGCCUUCUGAAAGGAAGAUUAAUCCAGGAUGGGAUCAUGAGUUCACAUGUCCGCAUGAUUAAAGGUAUUUUCCGGUAGACGAUGGGGAUGCGUUCCAUUAGAUAGUAGGCGGGGUAACGGCCCACCUAGUCAACGAUGGAUAGGGGUUCUGAGAGGAAGGUCCCCCACAUUGGAACUGAGACACGGUCCAAACUCCUACGGGAGGCAGCAGUGAGGAAUAUUGGUCAAUGGGCGAUGGCCUGAACCAGCCAAGUAGCGUGAAGGAUGACUGCCCUAUGGGUUGUAAACUUCUUUUAUAAAGGAAUAAAGUCGGGUAUGCAUACCCGUUUGCAUGUACUUUAUGAAUAAGGAUCGGCUAACUCCGUGCCAGCAGCCGCGGUAAUACGGAGGAUCCGAGCGUUAUCCGGAUUUAUUGGGUUUAAAGGGAGCGUAGAUCGGAUGUUUAAGUCAGUUGUGAAAGUUUGCGGCUCAACCGUAAAAUUGCAGUUGAUACUGGAUGUCUUGAGUGCAGUUGAGGCAGGCGGAAUUCGUGGUGUAGCGGUGAAAUGCUUAGAUAUCACGAAGAACUCCGAUUGCGAAGGCAGCCUGCUAAGCUGCAACUGACAUUGAGGCUC